rnacentral:rRNA from 1 species
CACGUAGGGGACGAGCGUUGUCCGGAUUCAUUGGGCGUAAAGCGCGCGUAGGCGGCUCGGAAAGUCGAACGUGAAAUCCCCGAGCUCAACUCGGGAACUGCGUCCGAUACUGGCGGGCUUGAAUCCGGGAGAGGGAUGCGGAAUUCCAGGUGUAGCGGUGAAAUGCGUAGAUAUCUGGAGGAACACCGGUGGCGAAGGCGGCAUCCUGGACCGGCAUUGACGCUGAGGCGCGAAAGCUAGGGGAGCAAACGGG